UGUAGUUAUGCCUCUAAAGUCUGGCAUUUUCCUCCCAAGCCCUGACUAAUACUUUAUUUGCCUGCACAGGUCUGUGAAGUGCACUGCUGUCAGACUCCCACUAAGAACACUUGAACUGCUCAUGAAGCGGGGGGCCUUAACUGUUUACUUCUUUUGGAAGCCUCCAUCUGGCCCAUCUAUCUUUAUUCUCCCAGGAUCCCAGUAGACAGUUUUCCUGUCAAAUUUCAUUAGAUGAGGAAAACACUACAAAGCUUCCAUCCAAACCUUCCAUCUCCUAAUUGCUGACAAAGGAUGAUGGCCUUCCAACUUUAUGGAUAUUAAAAAGUUAAGUAAUGACUCAGGUGUUAAGUAAUAGUAUAGAUUUUUAAAAUAUCAAUU
rnacentral:lncRNA from 1 species